GAAACGCGAAAUGUAAUGUGAAUUGCAGAAUCCCCGUGAAUCAUCGAAUCUUUGAACGCACAUUGCGCCCUUUGGCAUUCCGAAGGGCAUGCCUGUUCGAGCGUCAUUAUCCCCCCUCAAACCUCGGGUUUGGUGUUGGGCCCGCGUUGGUUGGCGACGACCAACUGGCCUCAAAGGCAAUGACGGCUCCCGCUGGGACCCUUGGUGCAAUGAGCUUCUUUCGAGAGCACGCAUCGAGUUCGGACCCGGUGGGCCGGUCUCCCUUACGACUUUCUAAGGUUGACCUCAAAUCAGGCGCCGCCACCCGCCGAACUUAAGC
rnacentral:misc_RNA from 1 species